UACGUAGGGUGCGAGCGUUGUCCGGAAUUAUUGGGCGUAAAGAGCUCGUAGGCGGUGUGUCACGUCGUUCGUGAAAACCUGCAGCUUAACUGUGGGCGUGCGGUCGAUACGGGCAUCACUGGAGUUCGGCAGGGGAGACUGGAAUUCCUGGUGUAGCGGUGAAAUGCGUAGAUAUCUGGAGGAACACCGGUGGCGAAGGCGGCAUCCUGGACCAACACUGACACUGAGGAGCGAAAGCCAGGGGAGCAAACGGG
rnacentral:rRNA from 1 species